UACAGAGGUCCCAAGCGUUGUUCGGAUUCAUUGGGCGUAAAGGGUGCGUAGGCGGCGCGGUAAGUCGGGUGUGAAAUCUCGGGGCUUAACUCCGAAACUGCAUUCGAUACUGCCGUGCUUGAGGACUGGAGAGGAGACUGGAAUUUACGGUGUAGCGGUGAAAUGCGUAGAUAUCGUAAGGAAGACCAGUGGCGAAGGCGGGUCUCUGGACCAAGACUGACACUGAAAAGCGAAAGCCAGGGGAGCAAACGGG
rnacentral:rRNA from 1 species